AGUCCCGUGGUGUAGUGGUUAUCAUAUGGGCCUUUGGAGCCUGUGACGGCGGUUCGAAUCUGCCCGGGACUA
rnacentral:tRNA from 3 species